rnacentral:rRNA from 1 species
CGUGUAGGCGGUUCGGUAAGUGGGAUGUGAAAUGCCCGGGCUCACCCCGGGACCUGCAUCUCAUACUGCUGAGCUUGAGUACAGGAGAGGGUGGGGGAAUUCCUGGUGUAGCGGUGAAAUGCGUAGAUAUCAGGAGGAACACCGGUGGCGAAGGCGCCCACCUGGCCUGCUACUGACGCUGAUGCGCGAAAGCUAGGGGAGCAAACGGGAUUAGAUACCCCGGUAGUCCUAGCCGUAAACGGUGAUCACUAGGUGUUGGGAGCAUCGACCCUUCCAGUGCCGCAGCUAACGCAUUAAGUGAUCCGCCUGGGGAGUACGGCCGCAAGGUUGAA